ACCAGAAAAAAAUCCAACAGCAGGGGGUUCUGGAUCGCCUUCUUCCCCUCUUCAAUCUCCUGCUGCCCGUGAGAAAACUCACCACCUGCAAAUCCAAGAAACGCAAAUGGCAGUUGAUUUUAAUUAAAUUUUUUAGAUCUGCUUCUCUUCUCCUUCAAAUCUGCUUCGGAUUUUGCUUCUUCUUGUCCGAUCUAGCUUCUCCUUCUCUGUUUCAGGCGACGGUGGAGUUGUGGGUGUCGCUGCUGCGGUCCAGGCGUUGUUGAAGGGGCUCGACCGGUGCUUGGUGAGGAAGAAGACGCUGCUGCGGCCUGUGGGUUGGAGAUCGG
rnacentral:lncRNA from 1 species